UGCGCAGGCGGUUUUUUAAGUCAGCUGUGAAAGGCCCGGGCUUAACCUGGGAAGUGCAGUUGAGACUGGAAAGCUAGAGUGUGUCAGAGGGGGGUAGAAUUCCACGUGUAGCAGUGAAAUGCGUAGAGAUGUGGAGGAAUACCGAUGGCGAAGGCAGCCCCCUGGGAUAACACUGACGCUCAGGCACGAAAGCGUGGGGAGCAAACAGGAUUAGAUACCCUGGUAGUCCACGCCCUAAACGAUGUCAACUAGUUGUCGGGGUCAAUAGGCUUUGGUAACGCAGCUAACGCGGGAAGUUGACCGCCUGGGGAGUACGGUCGCAAGAUUAAA
rnacentral:rRNA from 1 species